CAUUAGAUGACUGAAAGCAAGUAAUGGUCUCUUAAACCAAACAAUGAUAAAGUAGCAAAUAUCCCUGAUGA
rnacentral:tRNA from 1 species